GAUGAACGCUGGCGGCGUGCCUAAUACAUGCAAGUCGAGCGAACGGACGAGAAGCUUGCUUCUCUGAUGUUAGCGGCGGACGGGUGAGUAACACGUGGAUAACCUACCUAUAAGACUGGGAUAACUUCGGGAAACCGGAGCUAAUACCGGAUAAUAUUUUGAACCGCAUGGUUCAAAAGUGAAAGACGGUCUUGCUGUCACUUAUAGAUGGAUCCGCGCUGCAUUAGCUAGUUGGUAAGGUAACGGCUUACCAAGGCAACGAUGCAUAGCCGACCUGAGAGGGUGAUCGGCCACACUGGAACUGAGACACGGUCCAGACUCCUACGGGAGGCAGCAGUAGGGAAUCUUCCGCAAUGGGCGAAAGCCUGACGGAGCAACGCCGCGUGAGUGAUGAAGGUCUUCGGAUCGUAAAACUCUGUUAUUAGGGAAGAACAUAUGUGUAAGUAACUGUGCACAUCUUGACGGUACCUAAUCAGAAAGCCACGGCUAACCACGUGCCAGCAGCCGCGGUAAUACGUAGGUGGCAAGCGUUAUCCGGAAUUAUUGGGCGUAAAGCGCGCGUAGGCGGCUUUUUAAGUCUGAUGUGAAAGCCCACGGCUCAACCGUGGAGGGUCAUUGGAAACUGGAAAACUUGAGUGCAGAAGAGGAAAGUGGAAUUCCAUGUGUAGCGGCGAAAUGCGCAGAGAUAUGGAGGAACACCAGUGGCGAAGGCGACUUUCUGGUCUGUAACUGACGCUGAUGUGCGAAAGCGUGGGGAUCAAACAGGAUUAGAUACCCUGGUAGUCCACGCCGUAAACGAUGAGUGCUAAGUGUUAGGGGGUUUCCGCCCCUUAGUGCUGCAGCUAACGCAUUAAGCACUCCGCCUGGGGAGUACGACCGCAAGGUUGAAACUCAAAGGAAUUGACGGGGACCCGCACAAGCGGUGGAGCAUGUGGUUUAAUUCGAAGCAACGCGAAGAACCUUACCAAAUCUUGACAUCCUUUGACAACUCUAGAGAUAGAGCUUUCCCCUUCGGGGGACAAAGUGACAGGUGGUGCAUGGUUGUCGUCAGCUCGUGUCGUGAGAUGUUGGGUUAAGUCCCGCAACGAGCGCAACCCUUAAGCUUAGUUGCCAUCAUUAAGUUGGGCACUCUAAGUUGACUGCCGGUGACAAACCGGAGGAAGGUGGGGAUGACGUCAAAUCAUCAUGCCCCUUAUGAUUUGGGCUACACACGUGCUACAAUGGACAAUACAAAGGGCAGCGAAACCGCGAGGUCAAGCAAAUCCCAUAAAGUUGUUCUCAGUUCGGAUUGUAGUCUGCAACUCGACUACAUGAAGCUGGAAUCGCUAGUAAUCGUAGAUCAGCAUGCUACGGUGAAUACGUUCCCGGGUCU
rnacentral:rRNA from 1 species